rnacentral:snoRNA from 1 species
AUCCCAUGAUGAGGACAGGCGGCGAUGUAUUCCUGCAACCUUUCCCACGCCUCCGAGAUCGUCCUAUCCUUUGUCUGCUGGAAGCUGGAUAUUCUUCCACGAAGGGC